GGUGGUCUAGCUCAGUGGUAGAGCACAUGCUUAGCAUGCAAGAGGUCCUGGGUUCAAUCCCCAGUACUUCCA
rnacentral:tRNA from 1 species